GACGAACGCUGGCGGCGUGCUUAACACAUGCAAGUCGAACGGAAAGGCCCUGCUUUUGUGGGGUGCUCGAGUGGCGAACGGGUGAGUAACACGUGAGUAACCUGCCCUUGACUUUGGGAUAACUUCAGGAAACUGGGGCUAAUACCGGAUAGGAGCUCCUGCUGCAUGGUGGGGGUUGGAAAGUUUCGGCGGUUGGGGAUGGACUCGCGGCUUAUCAGCUUGUUGGUGGGGUAGUGGCUUACCAAGGCUUUGACGGGUAGCCGGCCUGAGAGGGUGACCGGCCACAUUGGGACUGAGAUACGGCCCAGACUCCUACGGGAGGCAGCAGUGGGGAAUAUUGCACAAUGGGCGGAAGCCUGAUGCAGCAACGCCGCGUGCGGGAUGACGGCCUUCGGGUUGUAAACCGCUUUCGCCUGUGACGAAGCGUGAGUGACGGUAAUGGGUAAAGAAGCACCGGCUAACUACGUGCCAGCAGCCGCGGUGAUACGUAGGGUGCGAGCGUUGUCCGGAUUUAUUGGCGUAAAGGGGCUCGUAGGUGGUUGAUCGCGUCGGAAGUGUAAUCUUGGGGCUUAACCCUGAGCGUGCUUUCGAUACGGGUUGACUUGAGGAAGGUAGGGGAGAAUGGAAUUCCUGGUGGAGCGGUGGAAUGCGCAGAUAUCAGGAGGAACACCAGUGGCGAAGGCGGUUCUCUGGGCCUUUCCUGACGCUGAGGAGCGAAAGCGUGGGGAGCGAACAGGCUUAGAUACCCUGGUAGUCCACGCUGUAAACGGUGGGUACUAGGUGUGGGGUCCAUUCCACGGGUUCCGUGCCGUAGCUAACGCUUUAAGUACCCCGCCUGGGGAGUACGGCCGCAAGGCUAAAACUCAAAGGAAUUGACGGGGCCCCGCACAAGCGGCGGAGCAUGCGGAUUAAUUCGAUGCAACGCGUAGAACCUUACCUGGGUUUGACAUGGAUCGGGAGCGCUCAGAGAUGGGUGUGCCUCUUUUGGGGUCGGUUCACAGGUGGUGCAUGGCUGUCGUCAGCUCGUGUCGUGAGAUGUUGGGUUAAGUCCCGCAACGAGCGCAACCCUUGUUCACUGUUGCCAGCACGUUAUGGUGGGGACUCAGUGGAGACCGCCGGGGUCAACUCGGAGGAAGGUGGGGAUGACGUCAAGUCAUCAUGCCCCUUAUGUCCAGGGCCUCACGCAUGCUACAAUGGCUGGUACAGAGAGUGGCGAGCCUGUGAGGGUGAGCGAAUCUCGGAAAGCCGGUCUCAGUUCGGAUUGGGGUCUGCAACUCGACCUCAUGAAGUCGGAGUCGCUAGUAAUCGCAGAUCAGCAACGCUGCGGUGAAUACGUUCCCGGGGCU
rnacentral:rRNA from 1 species